UAGGGAAUCUUCCGCAAUGGACGCAAGUCUGACGGAGCAACGCCGCGUGAGUGAAGAAGGAUUUCGGUUCGUAAAACUCUGUUGUUAGAGAAGAACAGCGCAUAGAGUAACUGUUAUGCGUGUGACGGUAUCUAACCAGAAAGCCACGGCUAACUACGUGCCAGCAGCCGCGGUAAUACGUAGGUGGCAAGCGUUGUCCGGAUUUAUUGGGCGUAAAGCGAGCGCAGGCGGUCAAUUAAGUCUGAUGUGAAAGCCCCCGGCUCAACCGGGGGAGGUCAUUGGAAACUGGUUGACUUGAGUGCAGAAGGGGGGGGUGGAAUUCCAUGUGUAGCGGUGAAAUGCGUAGAUAUAUGGAGGAACACCAGUGGCGAAGGCGACUCUCUGGUCUGUAACUGACGCUGAGGCUCGAAAGCGUGGGUAGCAAACAGG
rnacentral:rRNA from 1 species